rnacentral:pre_miRNA from 1 species
AGUGGGAUAGCUGGGUCAAAUGGUGGUUCUAUUCUGAGUUUUUCUAAGGAAUCUCCAUACUGCUUUCAGUAGUGGUUACACCAAUUUGCAGUCCCAUCAGCAAU